GUCUGCUGCGGCGUGUUUUUCAGAAUCGAAAGAGUUUUAUUAUCCCGAGGGAAAUUGUUUCAAUUGCACACUUGCGACUUGUUAAUUUAUUUCCUGAACAAUAUUCCACACGGGAAGAUCCAACCCCCAUUGAUUUGUUUGCACUUUGUUUACCUGUUUGCACCAUUUCUAUUGUCUUUGCACUUUGUUUUGCACUAGGCCUAGGCUAUAAGUUUGUAUGUCUGUUUAAUUUAAUGAAGUUGCGUUUUAUGCACAAAAAAUACCCUCUGGGACCAUUAACGUCAUCAUAUGUAUCCUAGUUAAUUGUAUAUUAUUGCAGUACUCUACACGGUGCAUAGACUUCCCUAUGUUUAUUCAUGAGGCCGACUAGUUUUAUCACAUUAAAAGCGUUCAGUCUUGAUGCAACAGUAUUUUACCCGUACUCGUAAAAAUUUACCGAAAACAGAAGACUAUUCUUUAUUUGAGCAGAAAGCAUUAAGCAUUUUAAGGAUGCGCGAGGAAAUUACUAAAUCGGAUAAUCCAGUUUUGAGUAGCGAAAAACCUUAUUGAUCUUAAAAAAACUUAUUAACACGUGAUAAAAGUACAGAAAUGGCUGAAUUAAAAGCGACGCAGAUAAGCUGUAUAAGGUGGCGCUAACGAUGAAACCAGAGACAUGUUUCCCAGGACCAGCCCUAUAUUAACAUAGUAACUGAAAGUUUAUAUUAACUGGCGAAUUAAGGUAUAAGGUAAGGUAAGGGUUUGUGUAUUCUAUGUAUUAACACGCAUAUUUAUGGGCAUACAGGAAUCCCAUGUAGUCUAAAAGUACAGUUUAGUCAAAAAAGAAGGCUGUAAAUUUCCCACAGUUAGAAAUGUGAAAUUUGACUGCACUGUAAUUAUAUGUGUAAACUACACUUUAGUUUCUGCCUCCUUGUUCUGUUCAUAAGGGUUUAAUCUGUCCUCUCAGUCCUGUACAGUUAACAUGCGAAAGCUAUAGUCUGAUCUACGCAUCUCAAAUUAUAGGGGCGUUCAUUUCAGGCUGAUACUAUUUAAUGUUUAUGUGACACUAUUAAAAAACGCUUAUUUAAAAAAAAUCAGGAGCCCGUACGUCAUCCCAUUUCCCUUCGUGUGAGCCUAUAAUGUUAAAUAUAUCACUACGCUCCACCACCUCCGGAUUUCUGCCAUGCAAGAUCCAGGCUACAAUAUUAAGAUAAAUGCUACAUUAAAUUUACGGAAUAAUUAUGAUACCCAUUUCCUCAAAGUCCAGUCAUAUUUUGGCAGGACGUGUAUAUUUUGGUACCUCUUGGUAUGACUCGUUUUCUUAUGUAUUACGUCCAUCUAGAUUUGUACGUCUUGCCUUAUCGUGCACUAUGUGUUAACUGUUAUAUAAUAUUAUAUAAUAACGUUUUUUGACACUAUGAGCAACUUGGCACGUCAAAUUCAUACAUGCCAACAUCAGGUUAUUAAAAAAGGGAGACUUUGCCAAGUGAAGGAGGAGGUCCCGUACGAUUAAAUUUGCCGGGGAGGGGGGUAAGGGGGUUCCCCGGCGGACAAAUUUAUCGAGCCGGACGCGGAAAAUCAGGAACUUGGAAUUAGUGAAUUAUAAUUUCAUCUCGGAGCUGAUGGCUUGAUGCAGCCUCUUAACAUGAACAUGAGCAAAUUUUUGUAGAGAGCAGGUCCAACCGUCCAAAACGAGCGCGGAUGUCCGAGGACGUUUUGGGGAAAGCGGAGGCUGGCGGCCCGGAGAGCGGCUGAUGCAGCGCGGCGCUGUGCCAGGGCGCGGCGGACUGUCAAAGGGACACUGCUGGCGGGGCAGGCGGCGAUGCGUCAGGGCACACCUCCGCCUUUGUUCACCCAGACUUGGAAAGUGCUGCACUGUCCUGAACGUAUUAGAGUCUUUGAAGACUCUUGCUGGGGAUUCCAGUGAGCAGUAUAUUACAGCCAGCUUUUCAGCAUCUGAUAAGAAGAUGAGCUGCAGCGAUCCGAGCAGGAUGGUGAAGCACAGCGCCCCCAGCAGGUGGAAGGAGGCCUGCGGGAAGAGCUGCCUGGUGGCGGGGACCAGGUAACGCGAGGGCGACGAGGGUGAGGAAGAGGAG